GGGGCGGGGCGGGCCGCGGCGGCAUGUGGCGGCGGCGCGGAUGGGGACGGAGGACGUGGACGAUGGUACCGUGGCGGCCCUGAGGAGGGGUGACGAAGGUGGAGCUGUUACCAAAGGGGUUGGGGCGGCCGAAGCGGUGGUCGGUGAGGAAGUAGGUGUUAUUAGUAUCCUCUGUCGAUGUGCCCGCUCGGAUGCUCGUUCUGGAGCUGCUGCGACCGCCACCUUCUGGUGCCUACACUCCCGCGAACCUUCCGGCGCCACGGCGCUAAUUCAGUACUCCUGGCGCCGCCGUCGUCAGUUUUAGAAGUACUUCAGAGAGGCGAAUGGGAGGGAGCCAGACUAAAGAGAGGUUAGAAACUUAGGGGAGUCAAACUUGAUUACGGUACAUAAAAGACUUGUCAAUCACUUAGUAAACAGUCAACUUUCUACCAACUACGUGGUUUUUUCUAACAUAACUAAGUUAGACCUUUUCAGUUCUAGUGUUAUCGUUAAUGUAUACGUAAACAACCCGGUUUUCAUCGUCAAUGUAUACGUAAAUCAAUUAGAAAACCGGAUAGUGGCAAAGUACGUAAAAAAACACCUGAAAGUAAACUGGAACUCACAACUGAACGAAAAGACAACGAUUGUUACAGGCCGAACGGCUUACAUGAACGAAUAGGAACAUGACCUCAUGGUAAUAAGUGGUAUAUGUGUGAAAGGUUAAGACAGACAAAUGAUAGAUCCUCAGUCUGGUACCGACGUGCCUCGUCCAGGUGGGUGAUCCCCGACCGGCGGCACAGGCGGUACUCCUAAGGACGUGAUUCGGAACGGCCGCAAGGGCCGGUGGUUCCAUGAAGAUGAAUACACAGAGAUAUUCUAAGGACGUAUACAAAAACACGAAAGGUGAAUUACGUAACAAUCGAGAUACAAUGUGAAGAAAAUCCAUGAAGGACGAGGUUUUAGUUAUAUGUAUCCGUAUAAACGAGUACUUUGACGAGACCAAAAAGAAAAUCUCAAAUGAGGGUAAAUGAACACAGCAAGAUGUUAUUAUUGUCUUAACUAUAGCUAAUUUGAAGAAACUCAUAGAACUUUAAAUUACUAAAGGGUACCUUAUACUUCAAACUCUUACUGUGGACGACUCGACUUUUAUUAGAUCGCUCGUUAUCAUAUUACUUAUCAAUAAUGGCAUAGCCGUAGUGUAACGAGUACCCACUUAUUGUGUUGUUAUUUGAUCUUUUUACCUUUACGAGACAAACCAAACCCAUGGUAAGUCCUUUCAUCAAUUGUCUCUAUCUGAUAAACUGUCAACGUCUCACUGUGGUGGUGGUGUAUACUUCGUCUCUCAAACAUUUCUCUGUGAUUUAUUAGUAGACCUCACUCUGUGUUAACGAAAGAACAAAUCACUUCUGCUAGAAAAAACCCCACAUUAUAUUGAUACCAUCGAGAGACCUCACUCUUACGGCUCCGGGAUUUUUUGUCGGUAGCUGUGCCUCAAGGACGGUAAUUCCUAUUUUUUCGAUCGUCUCUUUGUCGAACCCCUUAGUGUUCGAAUAGAACGGAAAACUUACACGUCGGACAUUGGUCUCUUCGAACAAGAUUAAUAGCAUACGAAUAAAAGGGGCUCGACAAAGAGACGAUCGAUAAUAAGAGUUCGUUGAUGGUUUGAUACCUAUCUUCUUCAGGAUUGUACCUCGAUAAAGUUUUGUUCUACUCCUCUCUGAGUUCUUAAAUUUGUCAUUUUAUGCUUGGACGUGUACUAGUAUAUUACACGCCUAGUGUCCGACCGGUUUCGGAAGAAAGCUCAGAGGAUUGUAACGGACGAAUUAAAAGUGAUGGACGUUCAUGUUGAUCGAUCUUUAAAGCCAUACGACGAUACACGGAACUCAAACAUUCAGUUCUAGAGAAACGAAGGUCCUCUCAAACUGGUGAGUAUAGAGAGAAAAAGAACGGUGGACGUGAAUCAUUAAAAAAAAGGAUACUAUAUAUAACAUAGUAAAACCAACGACUUAUACUAUCAGCAUCGGGCAGUUUUAUAAUACUAUCGGCUAACUAAGAAGAAUUUUCCAUAUAACUGACAACGUUUCAAAUGGACCAGAAGAUAAAUAUAAAAGGUCUUAUGUCAGGAUCUCUACAACGAAAUAAACUCAAGACGAAUAACGUAAAUAACCUCGUGAACGUUACCCGUGUAACUUACAAAUUUACAAGGAGAACGACGACUGGUGUGAUGUCAAGUAAUAUAGAGUAACUCUGGAAUUAGUAGAAGGUACAAAUAAUCUUCCAUCGUAUCAUGACCAACUUGGGCUAUCAAUGGACUUUGGUAACGAAUUGUGGCUCGGGGAGAUGAAAGAUUUUCCAAAGGUAAAACCAAAUGACUUAUAAAAAAGGACGAACUUGAUAUAGUCAACCCGUUCACGAUCUUGGGUCCUCGUAUACUAAAACGACGAGUACUGUAUGCGCAGUUAUAACGUUAGUUGAGACUGACGUUAACAUAUCUGUUCCCGGACGUAAGAUAUACCUUCCAAGCUGUAACUUCGACGAGCGUAACUAGACGUUAUCUAGAACUGAAGUCGCCUUUUGCUCCAAAGUACCUCCGUCACGGAAUAAGAUGUACUACCCUUAAGUUGCCGUAAAAUAACAAAACAAGAAUUUAUGAUCGACCCACACGGCAGAUAAGUGUCUACUUCAUUAGACUUGUAGAGAACGUCUGUUUUGCGAGCCCCUUUCAAGGGUCGGCA
rnacentral:rRNA from 1 species